rnacentral:rRNA from 1 species
AUACGUAGGGGGCGAGCGUUGUCCGGAAUGAUUGGGCGUAAAGGGCGCGUAGGCGGCCCGGUAAGUCUGGAGUGGAAGUCCUGUUUUUAAGAUGGGAAUUGCUUUGGAUACUGUCUGGCUUGAGUGCAGGAGAGGGAAGGGGAAUUCCCAGUGUAGCGGUGAAAUGCGUAGAGAUUGGGAGGAACACCAGUUAAGAAGGCGACUUACUGGACUGUAACUGACGCUGAGGCGCGAAAGAGUGGGGAGUAGACAGGAUUAGAUAACCUGGGUGUCCACACUGUAAACGAUGAAUGCUCGGUGUAAGAGGUAUCGCCCCCGCUUGUGCUUUAGUCAACACAAUUACCAUUAACCCUGGCGAGUUCGGUCGUAAGGUGGCAGCUCAAAUGAAUUGGAGGGG